ensembl:snRNA U6 U6 spliceosomal RNA
GCUCACUUCAGCAGCACAUACUAAAACUGGAAUGCUACAGAGAAGAUUAGCCUGGUCCCUGUGAAAGAAUGACAUACAAAUUAGUGCAGCUGUGCAUAUUAAA